UACGUAGGGGGCAAGCGUUGUCCGGAAUCAUUGGGCGUAAAGAGCGUGUAGGCGGCCCGAUAAGUCCGCUGUGAAAAGUCCAGGGCUCAACCCUGGAAUGCCAGUGGAAACUGUCGGGCUGGAGUCCGGAAGAGGCGAGUGGAAUUCCUGGUGUAGCGGUGAAAUGCGCAGAUAUCAGGAGGAACACCAAUGGCGAAGGCAGCUCGCUGGGACGGUACUGACGCUGAGACGCGAAAGCGUGGGGAGCAAACAGG
rnacentral:rRNA from 1 species